rnacentral:rRNA from 1 species
GAUGAACGCUGGCGGCGUGCUUAACACAUGCAAGUCGAACGGUAAUUCUUUUAUUGAAACUUCGGUCGAUUUAAUUUACUUCUAGUGGCGGACGGGUGAGUAACGCGUGGGUAACCUGCCUUAUACAGGGGGAUAACAGUCAGACAUGGCUGCUAAUACCGCAUAAGCGCACAGAGCUGCAUGGCUCAGUGUGAAUAACUCCGGUGGUAUAAGAUGGACCCGCGUUGGGUUAGCUUGUUGGCAGGGUAACGGCCUACCAAGGCGACGAUCCAGAGCCGGCCUGAGAGGGUGAACGGUCACAUUGGGACUGAGACACGGCCCAGACUCCUACGGGAGGCAGCAGUGGGGAAUAUUGCACAAUGGGGGAAACGCUGAUGCAGCGACGCCGCGUGAAGGGAGAAGUAUCUCGGUAUGUAAACUUCUAUCAGCAGAGCAGAUAGUGACGGUACCUGACUAAGAAGCCCCGGCUAACUACGUG